GAAUGCUUGCAUUCACCGUAAGAAGUUGAGUGGCGGACGGGUGAGUAACACGUGGGUAACCUGCCUAAAAGAAGGGGAUAACACUUGGAAACAGGUGCUAAUACCGUAUAUCUCUAAGGAUCGCAUGAUCCUUAGAUGAAAGAUGGUUCUGCUAUCGCUUUUAGAUGGACCCGCGGCGUAUUAACUAGUUGGUGGGGUAACGGCCUACCAAGGUGAUGAUACGUAGCCGAACUGAGAGGUUGAUCGGCCACAUUGGGACUGAGACACGGCCCAAACUCCUACGGGAGGCAGCAGUAGGGAAUCUUCCACAAUGGACGCAAGUCUGAUGGAGCAACGCCGCGUGAGUGAAGAAGGUCUUCGGAUCGUAAAACUCUGUUGUUAGAGAAGAACACGAGUGAGAGUAACUGUUCAUUCGAUGACGGUAUCUAACCAGCAAGUCACGGCUAACUACGUGCCAGCAGCCGCGGUAAUACGUAGGUGGCAAGCGUUGUCCGGAUUUAUUGGGCGUAAAGGGAACGCAGGCGGUCUUUUAAGUCUGAUGUGAAAGCCUUCGGCUUAACCGGAGUAGUGCAUUGGAAACUGGAAGACUUGAGUGCAGAAGAGGAGAGUGGAACUCCAUGGGUAG
rnacentral:rRNA from 1 species